GCAUAUCAAUAAGCGGAGGAAAAGAAACCAACAGGGAUUGCCCUAGUAACGGCGAGUGAAGCGGCAACAGCUCAAAUUUGAAAUCUGGCGUCUUUGGCGUCCGAGUUGUAAUUUGCAGAGGGCGCUUUGGCAUUGGCAGCGGUCCAAGUUCCUUGGAACAGGACGUCACAGAGGGUGAGAAUCCCGUACGUGGUCGCUAGCCUUUACCGUGUAAAGCCCCUUCGACGAGUCGAGUUGUUUGGGAAUGCAGCUCUAAAUGGGAGGUAAAUUUCUUCUAAAGCUAAAUACUGGCCAGAGACCGAUAGCGCACAAGUAGAGUGAUCGAAAGAUGAAAAGCACUUUGGAAAGAGAGUUAAAAAGCACGUGAAAUUGUUGAAAGGGAAGCGCUUGCAGCCAGACUUGCCUGUAGUUGCUCAUCUAGGUUUCUACCUAGUGCACUCUUCUAUAGGCAGGCCAGCAUCAGUUUGGGCGGUUGGAUAAAGGUCUCUGUCAUGUACCUCUCUUCGGGGAGAACUUAUAGGGGAGACGACAUGCAACCAGCCUGGACUGAGGUCCGCGCAUCUGCUAGGAUGCUGGCGUAAUGGCUGUAAGCGGCCCGUCUUGAAACACGGACCAAGGAGUCUAACAUCUAUGCGAGUGUUUGGGUGUCAAGCCCGAGCGCGUAAUGAAAGUGAACGGAGGUGGGAACCUUUCGGGGUGCACCAUCGACCGAUCCUGAUGUCUUCGGAUGGAUUUGAGUAAGAGCAUAGCUGUUGGGACCCGAAAGAUGGUGAACUAUGCUUGAAUAGGGUGAAGCCAGAGGAAACUCUGGUGGAGGCUCGCAGCGGUUCUGACGUGCAAAUCGAUCGUCAAAUUUGGGCAUAGGGGCGAAAGACUAAUCGAACUAUCUAGUAGCUGGUUCCUGCG
rnacentral:rRNA from 1 species